AGCAGCCGCGGUAAUUCCAGCUCCAAUAGCGUAUAUUAAAGUUGUUGCAGUUAAAAAGCUCGUAGUUGAAUUUCGGGGUCAGUAGGUUGGUCAUGCCUCCGGUAUGUACUGGUCUCACUGAUUCCUCCUUCCUGAUGAGCCGUAAUGCCAUUAAUUUGGUGUUGCGGGGAAUCUGGACUGUUACUUUGAAAAAAUUAGAGUGUUUAAAGCAAGCUAACGCUUGAAUACAUUAGCAUGGAAUAAUGGAAUAGGACGUUCGAUCCUAUUUUGUUGGUUUCUAGGAUUGACGUAAUGAUUAAUAGGGAUAGUUGGGGGCAUUAGUAUUCAAUUGUCAGAGGUGAAAUUCUUGGAUUUAUUGAAGACUAACUACUGCGAAAGCAUUUGCCAAGGAUGUUUUCAUUAAUCAAGAACGAAAGUUAGGGGAUCGAAGACGAUCAGAUACCGUCGUAGUCUUAACCAUAAACUAUGCCGACUAGGGAUCGGAUGAUGUUAAUUUUUAAUGACUCAUUCGGCGCCG
rnacentral:rRNA from 1 species